AACGCACCUUGCGCCCUUUGGCCAUUCCAAAGGGCAUGCCUGUUUGAGUAUCAUGAACACCUCAACUCUCAUGGCUUGCUGUGAUGAGCUUGGACUUUGGGGGUCUUGCUGGCCUAUGGUCAGCUCCUCUAAAAUGGAUCAGCUUGCCAGUGUUUGGUGGCAUCACAGGUGUGAUAACUAUCUGCGCUUGUGGUUUUCCAUCAGAUAACCUUCAGUGAUGGAGGUUCGCUGGAGCUCACAAAUGUCUCUUAAGUGAGGACACCUCUUUGAAUGUUUGAUCUCAAAUCAGGUAGGACUACCCGCUGAACUUAA
rnacentral:misc_RNA from 1 species